rnacentral:rRNA from 1 species
CCUACGGGUGGCAGCAGUUAGGAAUAUUGGGCAAUGGAGGAAACUCUGACCCAGCAACGCCGCGUGAAGGAAGAAGGUUUUCGGAUUGUAAACUUCUGAUCUGUGGGACGAAGAAAGUGACGGUACCACAGGAGAAAGCCACGGCUAACUACGUGCCAGCAGCCGCGGUAAUCCGUAGGUGGCGAGCGUUGUCCGGAAUAACUGGGUGUAAAGGGGGCGCAGACGGCAAUGCAAGCCAGGAGUGAAAGCCCGGGGCCCAACCCCGGGACUGCUCUUGGAACUGCAUGGCUGGAGUACAGGAGGGGCAGGCGGAAUGCCUAGUGUAGCGGUGAAAUGCGUAGAUAUUAGGAGGAACACCGGUGGCGAAGGCGGCCUGCUGGACUGUGACUGACGUUGAGGCCCGAAGGCGUGGGGAGCAAACAGGAUUAGAUACCCCGGUAGUC